AUGGCUGUGCCACCCAAGUAUGCCAAUCUUGGCAAAUCUGCCAGGAAUGUCUUCAACAAGGGCUACGGAUAUGGCCUAAUAAACCUUUUGAAAACAAAAUCUGAGAAUGCAUUGGAAUUUGAAAGCUUAGGCUCAGCCAACACUGAAAUCACCAAAGUGACAGGCAGUCAUGGAGACCAAGUACAGAUGGACUGAGUACGGCCUGAUGUUUAUGAAGUGAAACACACAACACACCAGGACUGAGAUUACUGUGGAAGAUCAUCUUGCAAGUGGACUGAAGCUGACCCUCAAUUCACCCUUGUCACCUAAUACUGGGGGAAAAAUGCUAAAAUCAACACCAGGUACAAGCAGGAGCACAUCAACUUGGGCUGUAACCUGGAUUUUGACAUCACUGGACCUUCCAUCUGGGGCGCUCUGGUGCUGGGUUACAAGGGUUGACUGGCUGGCUACCAGAUAAAUUUUGAGACUGCAAAAUCCUGAGUGACCCAGAGCAACUCUGCAGUUGGUUACAAGUCUGAUGAAUUCCAACUUCACACUAACGUAAAUAAUGGGAGUGAACAACUCUAGCCUAACAGGUUUAGAAUACACUGAGACCCUAAAGCCAGGUAUCAAAAUGACACUGUCAGCUCUCCUGGAUGGCAAGAAUAACAAUGCCAGUGGUUACACGCUAGGUCUGGAACUGAAAU
rnacentral:lncRNA from 1 species